rnacentral:rRNA from 1 species
AUUGAACGCUGGCGGCAGGCCUAACACAUGCAAGUCGAACGGUAGCACAGAGAGCUUGCUCUCGGGUGACGAGUGGCGGACGGGUGAGUAAUGUCUGGGAAACUGCCUGAUGGAGGGGGAUAACUACUGGAAACGGUAGCUAAUACCGCAUAACGUCGCAAGACCAAAGAGGGGGACCUUCGGGCCUCUUGCCAUCAGAUGUGCCCAGAUGGGAUUAGCUAGUAGGUGGGGUAACGGCUCACCUAGGCGACGAUCCCUAGCUGGUCUGAGAGGAUGACCAGCCACACUGGAACUGAGACGCGGUCCAGACUCCUACGGGAGGCAGCAGUGGGGAAUAUUGCACAAUGGGCGCAAGCCUGAUGCAGCCAUGCCGCGUGUAUGAAGAAGGCCUUCGGGUUGUAAAGUACUUUCAGCGGGGAGGAAGGUGUUGUGGUUAAUAACCACAGCAAUUGACGUACC